rnacentral:lncRNA from 1 species
CUGUCUAAAAAUAAAUUCUUUUCGUAAUAUAACAAAAUUUUUCAAAUUUUUCUUCACUAUUUUAUUUCUGUUCUAUUUCAUCCCCUCUUGAAAUUCUCCUACAAGUCUUGAAAAUGCUUUUCCUUCGGUGCAGUCUUUUCGAAGUCAUUCUGUUCCUUUUCCUUAGGGAACUUUCACCCAAUUUUCCGAAUCCUUUGAAAAUUUCUCCUUCGAUUUUCUACUUCAGUUAAUUUUCGAGUCGAAACGUAUUUUCACCCCACCAUCGAAACCCCGAAGGAAAAUUAAAUUAUUAAUAAAUCUUCUGAAGGUUUCUUUUUCUUAAAUUGCCUUUGUUUUCUGCUUCAUCCGAAAGAUAUCUUCUUGGAAACAAAUAACCAGAAAAAACCAUCUUGUCAGUCGGUCAAUUAACCUCGGUUGCAGAUCUCUAGAAAGCUACGACCCACUUGUGACCCGUACUAUAAUGUCCUGGUGUGUUCCUUUAGCAGCAUCUAAAGUACAUUCGGUUUCCGACAAGAUGAUGGAUAGAGGACCAUCUCGUCUGUUAGUGGCUCACCCCCUGUCGACAGAACGAGGUGUGGCGAGGAAAAGCUGUCAUCGCCAACUCUAACUUAAACCAGUUGUGUUUGUUUGGAAUGUCAGCUUUUUCUUGUAAGAAACAAUUAUCCACCAUCGAGAUCUUGUCAAAAUCGUUUUCUGAAUUACCAAAAGUUACGCCCUCCAGAUGGUGCAGUCUACUUCUUAACAGAAUGUUUUCGGAAGGGAACGUUAUUAUUAUAAACUCAAACUUAGAUCCAUUAAGUAGAAAAAUAGAAACUGCAAGAAGAGAGUGUUCUUCUGGAUACUUUUGCUAUUGCAGCGUUUAAAGAGAUGAUUUGUAUAAGUAUUGACGAAGCGCUUAAUGGUGCUUCCUCUAGAGAAAACGAAUAUUCUAGGAGACGUGUAGGUGUGCCAAUGUUUGCACUAUCUCUACCUCCUCCAGAUCAAGGAAAACAGGAGAACGUAUAUUUGUUCUUUUUGGAAACCUUCUCCCGAUUAAAAAGUUCUGCCAAUUCUAUUUCGAGAAACCUCAUUUUAUUUAAAAAAAAAAAAUUUAAAAAAAUGCGUGGUUACAUUGUCGUGUUGUCUUUCAAUUUAUGUUAAACUUAAGAUUAUGUUUUGCGUAAUUAUCGCGGUGGAAUAGGUGCAAUAUCCGGAUUUCGGGGUGUAAAUCGAUAUGGCGUAACUAAUGUGCCUAUAUGUGCGUGUGUGCCAUCGGAUUUAAAAGCCAAAAAAUGAAUUUAAAAAAGUGCUGCUCUCAUAUUAUUAUUUUUUUCCGUUCUAUUUUUAUUAAGCUAACAAUUGUUGGUUGGUUAAAAAGAAAAAAAAAGCAUUAAAAUUCAUAAUACCGCACUGUUAGUCUACUAUAAGGCAUAUAUAGGUAGAAUGGCGAUUGCACGUUUUACAAGAUUUUACGGAUAAAAAAUCCAUUUUGGGAAUUUGCAUUUUGUGAUUUAUCACCAUUUGCGAGCGUGCUCUAUGCACUUUUAUAGUUUUAUUUUAUUCUCUGGGCGAAUUGAGUUUGUUUGUAAAUGGAUCAUCCACUUAACUCUGCUCUUGACGAUACACGAGAAGAGCGAAGAUUAAAGAGGGUGCAACGAAGGAAAAAAAGGAAUAAAAAAUGCAAAGAGGAGGAUUAUAUUGAAAGUUUGUCGCUUUGUCAGAUAUUAUAUGUCAUCGAUUAGCACCUUGACUGCCAUCCAACAGAUUUAUAAUGGAUUUUCUAUUCUUCUCUUGAGAAUUCUGUGCAUAUUUGUAUAUAAUUUUUUUAAUUCUCUCUUUUUGCAAACUAAUUUGUUACUGAU